rnacentral:rRNA from 1 species
GACGAACGCUUGCGGCGUGCCUAAGAAAUGCAAGUCGAGCGGAGCUGAAGGAUGAAUUAUGAAGGAUGAGGGAUGAUCAUCCUUCCGCCUUCAUCAUUCAUUCUUCAGCUUAGCGGCGAACGGUCGCGUAACACGUAAGCAACCUGCCUCAAAGACCGGGACAACAUCUCGAAAGGGGUGCUAAUACCGGAUGUGGCCGAAGGGGGACAUCCUUCUUCGAUUAAACCCAG